GACUCCAAUAGCGUAUAUGGUCAGUGUUGCAGUUAAAAAGCUCGUAGUUGGAUUUUUAGAGGAGAUUUAGAGAAAUGAUUUUAAGUUUAAUUAAUAAAUAAAAUUUAUUUUUUAAAUUUUUCAUUUUUCAUCCUUUAUUAUGUAAUUAAAAUAUUUAUAGUAUUUUAAAUUACUUAUUUACUUUGAAUAAAUUAGAGUGUUUAAAACAAUUAUUUUUUUUUUUAAAAUUAAUUUUGAAUAUAUUAGCAUGGGAUAAUUGAAUAAGAUUUUUCAAUAAAUUUGUUUUAGUAAUAAGUUUUGUUAUUGAAAAAUAAUGAUUAAUAGGAUCGGUUGGGGGUAUUUGUAUUGAAAUGUCAGAGGUGAAAUUCAUGGAUUUUUUCAAGACAAACAUCAGCGAAAGCAUUUACCAAGGACGUUUUCAUUA
rnacentral:rRNA from 1 species